rnacentral:rRNA from 1 species
UACGAAGGUCCCGAGCGUUGUUCGGAAUCACUGGGCGUAAAGGGUGCGUAGGCGGCGCGGUAAGUCAGAUGUGAAAUCCCGGGGCUCAACCCCGGAACUGCAUCCGAUACUGCCAUGCUAGAGGAUUGGAGAGGUAGCUGGAAUUCUUGGUGUAGCAGUGAAAUGCGUAGAGAUCAAGAGGAACACUCGUGGCGAAAGCGAGCUACUGGACAAUUCCUGACGCUGAGGCUCGAAGGCUAGGGGAGCGAAAGGG